rnacentral:rRNA from 1 species
CCUACGGGAGGCAGCAGUGAGGAAUAUUGGUCAAUGGGCUUACGCCUGAACCAGCCAAGUCGCGUGAGGGAAGACUGCCCUAUGGGUUGUAAACCUCUUUUGUCAGGGAGCAAUUGGCGCUACGUGUAGCGUUAUCGAGAGUACCUGAAGAAAAAGCAUCGGCUAACUCCGUGCCAGCAGCCGCGGUAAUACGUAGGUGGCAAGCGUUGUCCGGAAUUACUGGGUGUAAAGGGAGCGUAGGCGGGAAGCCAAGUCAGCUGUGAAAACUACGGGCUUAACCUGUAGACUGCAGUUGAAACUGGCUUUCUUGAGUGAAGUAGAGGUUGGCGGAAUUCCGAGUGUAGCGGUGAAAUGCGUAGAUAUUCGGAGGAACACCGGUGGCGAAGGCGGCCAACUGGGCUUUAACUGACGCUGAGGCUCGAAAGUGUGGGGAGCAAACAGGAUUAGAUACCCCAGUAGUC